rnacentral:rRNA from 1 species
UACGUAGGGGGCAAGCGUUGUCCGGAAUCAUUGGGCGUAAAGAGCGUGUAGGCGGCCCGAUAAGUCCGCUGUGAAAGUCCAGGGCUCAACCCUGGAAUGCCAGUGGAAACUGUCGGGCUGGAGUCCGGAAGAGGCGAGUGGAAUCCUGGUGUAGCGGUGAAAUGCGCAGAUAUCAGGAGGAACACCAAUGGCGAAGGCAGCUCGCUGGGACGGUACUGACGCUGAGACGCGAAAGCGUGGGGAGCAAACAGG